AUCCAACUGACGAGUCCAAAAUAGGACGAAAUGCGCACCCUGGAU
rnacentral:hammerhead_ribozyme from 1 species